AUCACUUCUCGGCCUUUUGGCUAAGAUCAAGUGUAGUACCAGAAUCAGGUGUAUGCUAUUUUUUUAGUUACUCCUGCCACCAAAGUCAGGUUACAUCAAUGGAAGGUAAACAGAAGGCAAAAUGAAAGCAUAUUUUGGAAAGAACAUAUUUUGUUACAUUAUAAAAGAACUCUCUCUAAUCUUA